CAAGGACGUCUCACGGUGUGAAAAAUGCCCGGAUGGUGUAAGGGAAGAAAUGAAAAAAUAUGUUGAUGAAAAAAGGGAGCUAAAACAUCGGGAUUUAUUUCAACGGAAUGUGACUAAUAUUGAUGAUUAGUACUAUCUCUGAUCAGCUAGCAACAGUGUUUGGUCCAACUGCCGGAAGGAGUAACACCAUUUGUUCAAAUUACUCAAAAUGAGUUUUUAGGGCGAAAACAUAAGAAACUUAAAGAAGAGGACGUCGUUGUUUGUGAAUGCAAAUA